AAACAAGAAUGCUAAUACCGGAUAACAACAGAUGAUGCCUAUCAACUGUUUAAAAGAUGGUUCUGCUAUCACUCUUGGAUGGACCUGCGGUGCAUUAGCUAGUUGGUAGGGUAACGGCCUACCAAGGCGAUGAUGCAUAGCCGAGUUGAGAGACUGAUCGGCCACAUUGGGACUGAGACACGGCCCAAACUCCUACGGGAGGCAGCAGCU
rnacentral:rRNA from 1 species